AUGCCGAGAUCCCUCCUAAAAGAUAAGGAGAGUGGUAUGUCAAAAGUGGAAUUGAAGAAGAGCCUAGAGAAGAUAGAAAGUGCUAUAAAUGAUGCAUGUGAAGUUUUGAAACAACUGAACUUGCCAGGUGGACAUAAUGAUGAUGGGAGGCGAGCUGUUGCUACCAAUUCACGCCGUGCAGUCACUACUGCAGCCCCUCCGAUAGGAGUAAUUGGUCGGGAUAAGGAUCGUGACAAGAUAAUCGCGAUGCUUCAUGAGAUGGAAGACCAUUGUCAAGCAAAUACUGUUAGUCAUAAAUGCUAUUCUGUAAUUGGCAUUCAUGGCAUGGCUGGGUCAGGGAAAUCAACACUUGCAGCAUGUGUUUAUGAUCAUGAGAAAAAGUGUAGGAAAGAGAAAAUGGAAGGACAUUUCGAUAUUGUCAUGUGGAUUCAUGUUUCUCAGAAAUUUGAUUUGGAUACCAUUUUCAGGGAGAUGUUUGAGGGGGCUACAGGGAAAGCAUGCGAUAACUUCAAUAGUCGUAACGUCCUGAAGGAAAAACUGGAGGAUGAACUGCAUGGGAAACAGAUUUUGCUGGUACUGGAUGAUGUCUGGUACAACAGUAGGAAUUCAGUAGACCGUGAAGAACUACAAAACUUAAUUUCUCCGCUGAAUGUUGGAAAGGCGGGAAGCAGAAUCUUGGUGACUAGUCGAACUGAAGCUGCAUUAGUAUCUCUGGGUGCUUUAAAAGAGAGAUGUAUUCCAAUAUCUGAUUUGGAUGAUGAAGUGUUCCUUGAAAUGCUCAUGCAUUAUGCACUUAGAGAUGCAAGGGUAAGUGACGAUGAUCGAAGAAUACUUGAAAUGAUUGGAGUGGACAUUGCAAAAAAGCUGAAGGGAUCACCUCUAGCAGCCCGAACAGUGGGUUCACGGCUCCGUGAGACACAAACUAUUGAGUUUUGA
rnacentral:rRNA from 1 species